CGCAAAUUAAAACACCCUUUUUUGUAUUGUUUUUAUUAUUAAAAAAAUUGUUCUUCUUUCCCACCGGAAUCAGAUCCUCAGUUGCAAGAUUCACUUCCCUGUAUUGUCCUUUACUUCUCCUCCAUCAUCACCUCCAUCAACAGCGCCACCGCAAAAGCUCAACCGCAUACCGCCAUGUAAAGAUGCGGAAAGGGGUUGAUGAAAUCGUGAUUGUUGAUUUGUAUUUGGAUGCUUUGGGUGGUUUAUUGAAGAUCGAAGGUUGAAUUUGGCGUGACGUCGAAUUGGAUCUUUGAACGGAGGGGAGGAUUGGAUGAGAAUUUUUGGAUUUGCGCAGGAUUUUAUUUUUCCCGUGAAAAUA
rnacentral:lncRNA from 1 species